AUGGAGGUUCCCAAGCUAGGGGGGUCGAAUUGGAGCUACAGGUGCAGGUCUAUGCCACAGCCACAGCAACUGGAGAUCCUUAACCCACUGAGUGAGGCUAGGGAUCAAGCCUGAAUCCUCAUGGAUACUAGUCAGGUUCUUAACCUGCUGAGCCACAACAGGAACUCCACUUUUGUCUGUUUCUGAACUUGGUAUACGUAGAACUAUUCAGCCAUCUGAGUGUGAGGAUUUCAGUUCUGUGUCACUGUGUGUUGCAAGUGAUUGUUUGAUUUCAUUGCUAAGUACACCACAAUAUAUUCAUCCAUUCCACCGCUAGUGGAAAUGUGGGUUGUUUCCAGCCUUUGGCUGCUAUCACUGGAUAGGUCUGAGCAGUUUUGUCCAUGACCUCAGUGCACAUGAGUAUGUGUUUCUGGAGUGCCCUGGUGGCUUAGCAGGAUCUAGUGUUUCACUGCUGUGGAUUGGGUUGGUGCUGUUGAGGGGGUUCAAUCCCUGGCCCGGGAACUUCCACAUGCUGCAGGUGUGGCUGGAAAAAAAAGAGAGUAUGUGUUUCAGUUGAGUGUGUGCAGAGGGGUCCAGAAAUGCUGGGCCAUAGGAUACACAAUGCUCAGCGCUUAACCCUGCCAAACAGCCUUCCAAAGUGACAGUACAAUUCGCACCCCUACUAGCCUGUGGAUGGCAGUUGCAGGUGAUCUACGUGCUCUCCUGCACUCAGUACUGUUAGCCUGUUCAUUUCAGCCACUCUGGUGGGUGUGUAGUGGUGUCUCCUGGGGGUUUCAGUUUAUAGUGCAGCUCAUAUUCACUGGCCACUCGUAUAAUCCCUUUUGUGAAGUGCCUGUCCAAAUCUUUGGCUUAUUUCUUCUAUUGGGUCAUUAAUGUUUUGUGGAAUAUUUUUUCAUGUAUUCUGGAUACAAGUCUCUUAUCAGGUUUAUGAUUUGUAAAUACCUUCUCCCACUCUUUUAGCUUGCUUUUCCACUUUCUUAAUGGUAUCUCUUUUAAGUUGCUUGGUUAAGACCAAUCUUAACCUUGGUCUUUAGUGCUUUUUGUACUGUAUUUGAGAAAAUUUGUUCACGUGAAAGAUCAUGAAAGUAUGCUUUUAUGCUACCUUUAGAAGUUUUCUUGUUUUAACUUUCUGCAUUUAGGUCUACAAUCAGCCUGAUUUAAUUUUUGUGGCUGGUAUGUGUGUGGGGGGGGUCAAAAUUCAUUUUUUAAAAUAUGAACAUAU
rnacentral:lncRNA from 1 species